rnacentral:rRNA from 1 species
UACGUAGGUGGCAAGCGUUGUCCGGAUUUAUUGGGCGUAAAGAGCGUGUAGGCGGUCAGGUAGGUCGGUUGUGAAAACUGGAGGCUCAACCUUCAGAGGUCGACCGAAACCCCCUGGCUAGAGUCCGGGAGAGGAGAGUGGAAUUCCUGGUGUAGCGGUGAAAUGCGCAGAUAUCAGGAAGAACACCCGUGGCGAAAGCGGCUCUCUGGAACGGUACUGACGCUGAGACGCGAAAGCGUGGGGAGCGAACAGG